rnacentral:lncRNA from 1 species
CAAUACUUCCACCGCCUGCGCAUUGGACUCAUUCAACAUGACCUUCCACCGGUCUUCUUCUCUUCUCACCUCCGAAAACACUUCUCGUGGAGAGGGAAGGGGACGUUGGCCAAGUGUUCGGCCGCGAACAUCAUCUAGAUUGCGAUGAAGUUCAGCAAGAAACUCACACACCCUUUCAGUUUCCAAUUUCUUUGAAUACCGCACGCUAUCUUCUGCACACUUCCAUUCUUCCUCAGUACUCAUGUCGAAUUCUUGCCAUAAUCUGGUAAUUUCCAGGUAAUAGUCCAUCACAUCUCGAUUUCCUUGCUUUGUUUGCCAUAGCUUCGACUUGAUUUCGAAAAUUCUGGAAAAAUUCUCAGAGUCAGUACAUUUCUUUAACUGCUUCCCAAACCUCUUUUGCAGAUGGGAGAAAUAAAUAUGUUUUUCCAAUGUUCGGCUUCAUGGAAUUGACAAGCCAGGUAGUCACCAUCGAGUUCUCC